rnacentral:rRNA from 1 species
GAUGAACGCUGGCGGCGUGCCUAAUACAUGCAAGUCGAGCGAACAGACGAGGAGCUUGCUCCUCUGACGUUAGCGGCGGACGGGUGAGUAACACGUGGAUAACCUACCUAUAAGACUGGGAUAACUUCGGGAAACCGGAGCUAAUACCGGAUAAUAUAUUGAACCGCAUGGUUCAAUAGUGGAAGACGGUUUUGCUGUCACUUAUAGAUGGAUCCGCGCCGCAUUAGCUAGUUGGUAAGGUAACGGCUUACCAAGGCAACGAUGCGUAGCCGACCUGAGAGGGUGAUCGGCCACACUGGAACUGAGACACGGUCCAGACUCCUACGGGAGGCAGCAGUAGGGAAUCUUCCGCAAUGGGCGAAAGCCUGACGGAGCAACGCCGCGUGAGUGAUGAAGGUCUUCGGAUCGUAAAACUCUGUUAUUAGGGAAGAACAAAUGUGUAAGUAACUAUGCACGUCUUGACGGUACCUAAUCAGAAAGCCACGGCUAACUACGUG